ACAGCAACACCAGCAGCAGCAGCAGUAUGACCACGACGGGCAUGUCAUUAGUUUGUCGCCACUCCAGAUCGUUGAAGACACACCAUCGAAGCAUCAA
rnacentral:ribozyme from 1 species